rnacentral:rRNA from 1 species
UACGGGGGGGGCAAGCGUUGUUCGGAAUUACUGGGCGUAAAGGGCUUGUAGGCGGCCAACUAAGUCAGACGUGAAAUCCCUCGGCUUAACCGGGGAACUGCGUCUGAUACUGGAUGGCUUGAGUUUGGGAGAGGGAUGCGGAAUUCCAGGUGUAGCGGUGAAAUGCGUAGAUAUCUGGAGGAACACCGGUGGCGAAAGCGGCAUCCUGGACCAACACUGACGCUGAGUGAGCGAAAGCCAGGGGAGCAAACGGG